CCUACGGGUGGCUGCAGUGGGGAAUAUUGGUCAAUGGACGAAAGUCUGAAGCAGCGAAGUAGCGUGAAGGAUGAAUGCCCUAUGAGUUGUAACCUUCGUUUAUAUGGGAAUAAAACGUUCCACGUAUGGGAUUUUGUAUGUACCAUAUGAAUAAGGAUCGGCUAACUCCGUGCCAGCAGCCGCGGUAAUACGGAGGAUCCGAGCGUUGUGCGGAUUUAUUGGGUUUAAAGGGAGCGUAGGUGGAUUGUUAAGUCAGUUGUGAAAGUUUGCGGCUCAACCGUAAAACUGCAGUUGAAACUGGCAGUCUUGAGUACAGUAGAGGUGGGCGGAAUUCGUGGUGUAGCGGUGAAAUGCUUAGAUAUCACGAAGAACUCCGAUUGCGAAGGCAGUUCACUGGACUGCAACUGACACUGAGGCUCGAAAGUGUGGGUAUCAAACAGGAUUAGAUACCCCAGUAGUC
rnacentral:rRNA from 1 species